UGGGGAAUUUUGGACAAUGGGCGAAAGCCUGAUCCAGCAAUGCCGCGUGUGUGAAGAAGGCCUUCGGGUUGUAAAGCACUUUUGUCCGGAAAGAAAUCCUUGGCUCUAAUACAGUCGGGGGAUGACGGUACCGGAAGAAUAAGCACCGGCUAACUACGUGCCAGCAGCCGCGGUAAUACGUAGGGUGCAAGCGUUAAUCGGAAUUACUGGGCGUAAAGCGUGCGCAGGCGGUUUGCUAAGACCGAUGUGAAAUCCCCGGGCUCAACCUGGGAACUGCAUUGGUGACUGGCAGGCUAGAGUAUGGCAGAGGGGGGUAGAAUUCCACGUGUAGCAGUGAAAUGCGUAGAGAUGUGGAGGAAUACCGAUGGCGAAGGCAGCCCCCUGGGCCAAUACUGACGCUCAUGCACGAAAGCGUGGGGAGCAAAACAGGAUUAGAUACCCUGGUAGUCCACGCCCUAAAACGAUGUCAACUAGUUGUUGGGGAUUCAUUUCCUUAGUAACGUAGCUAACGCGUGAAGUUGACCGCCUGGGGGAGUACGGUCGCAAGAUU
rnacentral:rRNA from 1 species